CUUGAGCUCUUGCUGAUGCAGAGUGCCUUCAUCUUUUGCUGCCAUUGUUUUGUUGCAGGCAGACUUUUAAAGGUGAUAUCUUGAGGACCCUAUGAAAGAUACAUGACACCAGAUAUGAACACACAGUUUUGAUCAAGUAGAUAGGAUGCAUUUCAUUUGCAUAUUAUCUACAUACCCUUGCUGUUCCUGCAUGCUUGAUGUAGUCAGCAAUGGCAAGCUGAAGAUCAUCUGCUUCCACCUCAUGUUCUUUGAAGGUUGGGGGGCCAACCCUUGAGUUGUUGAUUCUAUGUACGUUGAGUACGAUUUUCCUCAGCAGGUUUGUGGAGGCAUCCUAAAGAAUGGAGAAAAAAGUCAGGAGUGACGGUGAAACGAAGGAAAUUCUGAUGCAACCAAAAGUAUAUGAGUGAUGAGUCUCAAAAGGUACUUACCGGAGAGCACAUGAUUGUUUCAUCUAAAACAUUGUAAGCGCGGAGGCAGUUUGGUGGAACAGGGAGAUUGCUCAUCACAAAUCCAUCCUGAAGAAUAUAUCCCUUAGCAGCAAUCUGCCUUCUUGUUUUUUCAGAGAUCUUCUCCAUUAUUUUCUGAACCUAAGAAACAGAAGAACAAAAUGGUGGCUUUUGCCACAAGAGCAACAAGUCUCUGUCUAGUACUAGUACCUCUUCUGCGAAUAAACGACGGCAGUGAGAGCUGCCCUUCGUGUGAAAGCCAAAUUGAUCGAGGAAGCUCCAAAAUCCCUCUUCCAGUUCUUUCCUGGAUGGCACUCUCAGCUCCAAGGUAAGGGCUCCAUUGGAUUUCUUGACUUUUGCAACAUGGAUUGGUGGGAGAUCCUGGAAGAAGAUGAAUGCAGAAUUCGACAAAGGAAAUAAUAGUGGCUGGUUAGUUAGAGGGAUUAAGGGAAAAAAUACUCCAAAUAAAAAAUUUGAACCAUGGCAAGACAUAAUUAAUUGGUGCUUGUACUGUACAUAUGGCAUGCUCCUCAGAAACUAAAACCAGAAACUAACACUAGCCACCAAUAACUUAACUAAUAGUCUUAAUUUAAAUUUGAAAUUUGAGUGGAGAUUUGUACUGUUUGAGGGUUGGGUAAUGUGGUGGAAUUUAGCCAUAACAGACGUCUAGGCUACUGCACAAUGUGUGUUAAAUAAAGCAUGGCAUUUGCUUCCUUUGGAGAUAAUUGAUAUUUUAGUUGCUGCAUGCAUUUUAAACUCUGCACCUGUUGCUUUUGAAUUGGAUCAUACAUCUUUCUGGGAAGAUCCAAAUUUCAAAUUUCAGCACCUGUUAUGCUAGUGUCACUUCCAAAUUUCAGCUCAUCGUCUUCUCUGACUGCUCUAGUGUUUAAGCUGAACUACCUGCACUUGUUUUGUAUUUAGCUGCUUAACGCUAUCUCUGCAGCAGCAACUUUUUGGAAAAAAAAUUUCAUCAUCGACGAUUCAGUUACGAUCUAUCUAGCAGUAGAUUCGGCUACCUUGAGAUUUUCUCGGAGAAUUAGAGGAAAAAAAAGCUACAUAUGAAUGUGCAUAUUAUGCAUACCAACCUGACCCUACUAAUGCAACUUAAAGGAGACUUGAACAGUUUGAUCUCCUUCAUCAGUUAUCACUUAAUUACCUGACAGUAUGAACAUGAGGUGAAGUUGCUCUCCUUUUCCACACUUUUCUGUUUCUGUUGCAAAGUACAGAAAUUCCAUGUUAAUGCUAGCCACUACAUCACUGAUCAUAGUAUGCUUGGGCAGGGUUUAAUUUCUGCAUGUACCUUGCAGUUCUUGAACUGGAGGCAGCUGAAGCAGAUCAUGUUGAGUAUCUUCGUCAGCUCGGUGAUAUGGCUUGGGUGGUAGACGGACACGGGCAGCUUGAUGAACCCGAAAUGACCUUCAGCCAGCCAUGAGAAGACGAGUUUUGUCAGAAAAUAAUAAAUGAAGGCGGGCAGAAUCAAUGUCAUUACAACAAUCUCUUUGUCAGCUCAGUUCAGGAACACACUAUAAAUCAGUCGAGAUAAAUGCUGCGGCAUUGACUUUUAUCAACAAUGUCUUUGACAGUGUACAACAGUAAACUGAACGGCCAGGUGGAAUGAGAUGCUGUUAUUUCAGCCGAGUUUUUUGAGUAUUGCCGAAAGCUUAGGAACAGGAGAUACCUAUCCUAUCAGUUGAGACAAAUGCUGACGCAGAACUGAUUUUAGCAAGAAUACUCUGACAAUGUAUAAUACUCAAGUGAGUAGUCAGAUCAGCUGUUAUCAUAUCAAACUAUUUGUGUUUCAACAGAGUGAUCUUGCCUACUGUAGGAUUAUCACACACUGAACUAGGCAGCUAGCUAGCCCACUAAGAAGUUUUAUCUGCAUGUUUGUAGACGUGAAGUGGCACUAUUCAUCGCUAAAUUAAAGGGGCACACCACUGUUGGUAGAAACCUAGAAAAUCAGGUAUAAAACAGAGAGGAGCCAGUGAGUCACCUUCACACUUGGCGAGGUCGGUGGCGCCGCAGGAGUCGCAGUGGCCGAGCUGCAGCGGCAGGCCCAGCGCCGGGUUCCCGGCCAGCUGGCUCGGGUGCGUCACCGGGAACUCCUCCUUCAUCGGCUGCGCCUUCACCUGCAAUGCAUGCGACCAUCAAUGUGGUUAGUUAAUCACCUGCUGUUCUGCUAUGAAGAAGGAGGGGGAGGAGACGACGAA